GGUUAAGCGACUAAGCGUACACGGUGGAUGCCCUGGCAGUCAGAGGCGAUGAAGGACGUGCUAAUCUGCGAUAAGCGUCGGUAAGGUGAUAUGAACCGUUAUAACCGGCGAUUUCCGAAUGGGGAAACCCAGUGUGAUUCGUCACACUAUCAUUAACUGAAUCCAUAGGUUAAUGAGGCGAACCGGGGGAACUGAAACAUCUAAGUACCCCGAGGAAAAGAAAUCAACCGAGAUUCCCCCAGUAGCGGCGAGCGAACGGGGAGCAGCCCAGA
rnacentral:rRNA from 1 species